CCCCUAACUAAUCCAUGUCUUUCUUUUCUAGAGUUUUCCUAUCAUCAAGAAGAAAAAACAAGAAUAUACAUACUAUAAUAACUUAACAUCUUUUUCUCUGGGAAAUGAUGAGACCCUGGUGUUACAUAAUGUGCAGUCUUCAGACUCUGGAGAAUACAAAUGCUACCUGGCUGCUGAGGUUGGACGUCGAAAUGAUCAUUCAUCAAUUAGAUUAAAUAUCUCAGAAUGUGUAAAUGUGAGCACAGUUUAUCCCAUCAAGACCACGAUCCCUGCUGGAUCCUGUCCUGCUGUAGUAGAAUUAACUGUUCCCUGGGCUGUCAUUGGCUUUUGUCUUAUCAGCUUGUCCAAAGUCAUUCUUUGCAUUAUAACUGUGGGGGUGUGUGAUCGAGUCAUUUUUAGAACACUAAGAAGAAAACAGGAAGUAAGGGGAAGCAAGACUGGAAGGUCAAGCUGGAAAGCCUGAAAGUCACAAAAAACUGAUGGGGUCAUUUUAGUUUUACGCAUCCAUUAGCCAAGUUAAAACAGUCCAAUCCUGUUA